UUUGGCUGUUGUGAAUUAUGCUGCUGUGGACAUGAGUGUACACCUGUUUGAAACCCUGCUUUUGGUUCUUUUGGGUAUAUACUUAGAAGUGGAGCUGCUGGAUCAUAUGGCAAUUCUAUUUAACAAUUUUUGAGGAACCAUGUAUUAGUCCAUUUUUACGCUGCUGAUAAAGACAUACCCAAGAUUGGGCAAUUUACAAAAGAAAGAGGUUUAUUGGACUUACAGUUCCAUGUGGCUGGGAAGACCUCAAAUCAUGGCGGAAGGUGAAAGACACAUUUCACAUGGCAGCAGACAAGAGAAAAGACAGCUUGUGCAGGGGAAUUCCCCUUUUUAAAACCAUUAUAUCUCGUGAGACUUAUUCAAUAUCACAAGAACAGCAUGGGAAAGACUUGCCCUCAUGAUUCAAUUACCUCCUACCCAGUCCCUCCCACAACACAUGGGAAUUCAAGAUCAGAUAUGGGUAGGGACACAGCCAGAUCGUAUCAAACCACCAUACAGUUUUCCAUAGCGGCAGCACCAUUUUAAAUUCCCACCAGCAGUGCAUAAGGUUUCCAAUUUCUCCACAUCCUCAUCAACACCACUUUCUGUUGUCUUUUUUUUUAAUAGCCAUUCUAAUGGUGAUUAGGUGAUUAGGAUUAUCUCAUUGUGGUUUUGAUUUGCAUUUCCCUAAUGAUUAGUAAAUAUUGAGCAUCUUUUCGUGUGAUUUUGGCCACUUAUGUUUCUUUCUUGAAAGAAUGUCUGCAAGUUCUUUGCCCAUUUUCUGAUUUUUUUUUAAGUUGUGGGAGUUCACUAUAUGUUUUGCCUAUUAAUUUCCUAUCAGAUAUAUGAUUCACAAAUAUUUUCUUGUAUUUCAUGGUUGCUUUUUCACUCUGUUGCUAGAGUUCUUUGAUGCACAAACGUUUUAAAUUCUGAUGAAGUCUGAUUUAUCUAUUUUUUGUUGCCUGUGCGUUUGGUGUUAUAUCCAAGAAAUCACUGCCAAAUCUAGUGGCAUGAGGCUUUUCUUCUACAUUUUCCUAGGAGUUUUAUAGUGUUAGCUCUUAUGUUUAGGCCUCUGAUCCAUUUGGAAUUACAUCUCCACCUUUCUUAACUAUCUGUGGCUCCUUGGGAAAACUACCCUUCUUUCCUGAUUCAGACACUGGGGAUGGGAAAAUUACCUCAAAUGAAGGUUAAAAAAAUUGCAUGUAUCUCCUAUACUACCUAACACUGAGAG
rnacentral:lncRNA from 10 species